rnacentral:pre_miRNA from 1 species
AUGCAGGGAAAUCAUCUUUAUGUAGGUGUAAAUUACUCUAUAAAAAGAAAAAGAACCUUAGAUAGUUAGAUAGUUUUCCCUUCAAGUGUCUUCUUGU